rnacentral:rRNA from 1 species
AUUGAACGCUGGCGGCAGGCCUAACACAUGCAAGUCGAGCGGAUGAAGGGAGCUUGCUCCUGGAUUCAGCGGCGGACGGGUGAGUAAUGCCUAGGAAUCUGCCUGGUAGUGGGGGAUAACGUCCGGAAACGGGCGCUAAUACCGCAUACGUCCUGAGGGAGCAAGUGGGGGAUCUUCGGACCUCACGCUAUCAGAUGAGCCUAGGUCGGGUUAGCUAGUUGGUGGGGUAAAGGCCUACCAAGGCGACGAUCCGUAACUGGUCUGAGAGGAUGAUCAGUCACACUGGAACUGGAACACGGUCCAGACUCCUACGGGAGGCAGCAGUGGGGAAUAUUGGACAAUGGGCGAAAGCCUGAUCCAGCCAUGCCGCGUGUGUGAAGAAGGUCUUCGGAUUGUAAAGCACUUUAAGUUGGGAGGAAGGGCAGUAAGUUAAUACCUUGCUGUUUUGACGUUACCAACAGAAUAAGCACCGGCUAACUUCGUG